rnacentral:lncRNA from 1 species
GUGUUUCUUCACCUCUGCAGGUGAGGAUGGAUGGGAACGCGAGCAUUUUUUGCACUGGGACAGCCAUAGGGAGUCGGGCUGCUUUUAAAAUCCCGGGUUCACUACCGGAGAUGUUUGAAUAUGCUCAGGAGCUUAAGACAGAAGGAUGCCAAAUCCAAGGAUAACCUGGGCAAAAGCUGCCUGCUGAUCCAGAUGUAAAAAUUUCUCCUCCAGCACCGUGUCUCCCUGAGUGCUGCCAAGCUUCCUGUCACGACAAUAGUCAACUAUACCUCUGAAACUAUCCUCUCCUAAUCAUUUGCUCUGCUAAUGGACUUUACAGUUAUCUUCAAUGCCUGCCAAUGUCAUAUCCUUUCAAAAAAUACUGCUAUGUCUUUAGUGGACUUUCAUCUAGUUAUACUGUUGUCACUUAGGAUUCAUGCUGGAAAGGUCCUUUUGUGAAACCAAAUAUAAUAAUAUAUAAUUGUUUGCCAUGACCAUUCAUUAUAUUUGAAGAAAAGAACUCUAAACAUACAUCCAGGAUAGAAAAUGCUACUAAUGAUUGAUAGGGGCAGGGAUGGUACUUGUCUGUUCUUUACAAAAAGGCAUGAAUUAUGGGCUAGAAAGAUGGCUCCACAGUUAAGGGUACUCAUUGCUCUUGCAGAGGACAGUUUCCAUCACAUACCUGGUGUCUCACAAGCAUCUGUAACUUCGGUUCCAGAGGAUCUCCUUCUCUUGAAUAUGUGCACACAUUGUGCACAGACAUACAUUUAAGCAACACACACACAUAAAAGAAAAAUUAUUUUAAAAACUGAGGUAUGAAUUAAAUCAAAUUCAAAAAGCAAAAAGAUUCAAUGAAAAAAUCAUUAGCUAUGAGCAUUUAAAUAUUAUAUCUUUUGCUUUCAGAUAAACUCAGUUUUGAGGUGGCCUUUGGGAUAUGUGCAAAUACUCAAGUAAGAACAGCAGUUAAUGUGAUCCAUUCUUCUGAAUGAGGUCAUUUGGCUCAUCUCCCUUCUCAAUAUAGGUCUCUGUUUCUGUGGACUACAUAUUGACAAAGUGGAUAUAACGAUUGUAAAUAUUUAAAAUAAUAUUAAAAAUAUUAUUGUAA